rnacentral:lncRNA from 1 species
GGCCAGGUUUGUUUGGGGGAUAGUCCCCAGUAAAAGUUGCUCUUUGAAUUUAAUGGUUAAGGCAUAUUUCUGACAUUUUGACACUGACGUGGUUUUGAUGUGCUGUAGAUGGCGAGAGGAACAAAGACGAAACAGCUUUGAGUGAGAAAAAGAGCAGUGAGAUUGCUCCAGCCCACAGGUAAAUGAUAACCUGAGUGUACAGCACUUGGGGGGUGAGCUGGUGAAGGCACAUGUAAAGGGAUUUAAAAUUCUGGGAUGCAGGACUUCAGAAAAAGUUUAGAACCUUACUGUUCCUUAGAAUGAAAAGGGAACAAAAGAGUCACCAAGCAAUUUCACCCUCAGUUGUGACAAACAAGGCAGAGGAGGAAGGCAGUGCCUGAUAUCAGUUCUCUGCCCAUGCUCAUAAUUUCUCUUACCAGAUCACAAUUUGCACUGUACUCUCCUAAUAUUAUCUUCAUUUGCCAGACUGCUGGUGACUGGCAAAAUGCUGAUUCUGUGGAGACGCCGAGGUCGCCAUCAGAACACGUACAAGCUCAGCAGUCACUCAUGGCAGUGUAUUUAUACAAAUUUAAUAAUACCUCCUACAUACUGACCCUUGUUUCUCUUUUUCUUAAGAGGGGGAAGCUGUGCUGUUCUCUUCCCUGCUCGCUCACAGACCUGUUUGCCCGAGAGCCCUGCUGUGACCUCUGGCCCGUCCAGAAUGACCCCUCUGGCCCCCAGAGCAGCCUCAGGACCUUGCAGCCCUGCCAGGAAUUGGGCUGUGGAUGGCGAAGGCUCAGCUGGAACAUGGGUCCCUGCAAAGAGCCUGGACAGCCCAAGAAGGGACAAUUUCCUUCAGCAGGGAGAUUCAAGAGGAUUCCCAGUCCAGAAGGAAAAAUGUCCCUGCUCCCUGCAUCGCCCACUUCUCUCCUGUGCAGGGAGCAGCUCCUUCUCUGUCCUGUGUGGCAGCAGCACUCCCAUGCCCACGGCUCUCCUGCUUCCCACAUCCCACCUUUCAGCAGCCAGCAAGGCCAGAGAUCAGAAGCAGGAAGAGCUGUGGAGAAAAUCGCCCCAAAAUAAGUUAGAGCAACUCAAGAAGAGGAUCCAGGAGCAGAAGAGAAAGCAGCAAGCAGCAGCUCAAGAGCAGGAGCGCCUGAUUUUUGCUAAAGAGCCCCUGCCAAAGAGAGCCCUGAAAAGAAAGGUGUGCAGAGUGGCCUCUGCUCCUCCUGCUCCAGCUUACAGAGACCAAAGAGAGAGAAGCUCAGCACAGAGAAUCCAAACAGAACACCAGAGGCAGCUUUCAUCCACAUCCUGUGUUCUGGAGAAAGCAGUGGCAGGGAAAGGUGUGAAUCUACCUGGUGUUUCUGCAUGGAGAGAAGGUCAGAAGUUGGCUAGAAGGCUGCUGGGUCCACCCCCUCCAUUUCCACAUUUGAGGAGCAGACCUGGAGAGCAGAGCACAGCAAAGACCUUUGGUAUAGCUGCCCCUCUACAGCACUGGUUGUUUUGGCACACAAACUAAAACAGGGGUUU